ACUAGAGAGGUUAGACAACACCCCAUCACCCACACACUAGAGAGGUUAGACAACACCCCAUCACCCACACACUAGAGAGGUUAGACAACACCCCAUCACCACACACUAGAGAGGUUAGACAACACCCCAUCACCCACACACUAGAGAGGUUAGACAACACCCCAUCACCCACACUAG